rnacentral:rRNA from 1 species
UACGAAGGGGGCUAGCGUUGCUCGGAAUCACUGGGCGUAAAGCGCACGUAGGCGGAUUGUUAAGUCAGGGGUGAAAUCCUGGAGCUCAACUCCAGAACUGCCUUUGAUACUGGCGAUCUCGAGUCCGGGAGAGGUGAGUGGAACUGCGAGUGUAGAGGUGAAAUUCGUAGAUAUUCGCAAGAACACCAGUGGCGAAGGCGGCUCACUGGCCCGGUACUGACGCUGAGGUGCGAAAGCAUGGGGAGCGAACGGG